GAUUAUUCACCACUCACCCAAGUACAUACAACUUUCUGGUGAGGCCUUUAGGUCUCAGUUGGUAGGCUCAAACCCUAUGGGUUUUGAGUUGUGUGACAUACUCAUCCGCCGCUUUACCCAGCUCGAUGCAGACAUGCACGCUAAUUCUUGGAAAUGUCGCUGGAGGCAUUUCUUUGAAUCUGAUUUCUAUGUGAGUUCAAUAUGAUCAAAUUGCUUUUUUGUUGCCUUCCAUCUUCACAUCUCUCUGAAAAGUGUUCCUCUUCUUGUACGUAUUCUUCAAAGUGUUUUGCGUUAGAUGGGUACGACCUGCUCAAUGUCCUCUCUGUUAGGGAGCAAUUCAUUGGAGCAAAUGUUCCCUACAACCUAUCUGCUUGCUGGAUGGUAAGUGCUGUAAUCAGCAAACUUUGGUACCACAUUGCCCCAACAAUCUGCCCCAUAUAUUUUUGCUCAUCUUAUCCCUUUUUUGCGGAUGCUGGUCCCUGCAUGUAUCAAUCAAGUGUGGUGUUGUUUCUCCUUUGACAUGUGGAACAAAGUCAUAUAUGUGCUUGACCCCUGUGGCCCGAAUCCUCACACUGCUUUGAAGAGGCAUGCUGCACAAAAGAUUCUCGAUGCUUUGUGCAAAUGCAUAUCCGCGUUCUUUGAUAACUGGCAACCUGACCCCAAUGCAUGGCAGGUGCAUUUCCCAGUUCUGAACAUUGAGUCGUGCGAUAUGUAAGUAUGCCAUGCUAUGCCCCCACCCCCCUCUCUAAUUUAACGCAAUGCAGUAACCACUGAAUAUUUUCUCUGUCUUAGUGUGCACUCUAGUGUCUGCAUGCUACAUUGUGCCCGGAAUUUCAAAGGCGAUGCUUUGGCAAUGCCAUUGAAAUUGGGUCAAAUCCCUUCCUUGCGGAAUGCCCUUCUCUGUGAAGCGCUGACUAUUUCUGGGAACAAUGUUGCCAUUCCACUUCCCCUUAAAACUAUCAUUGCCGACUCUGUGUACUAGGUGUUCUUGCUCAACUAUGCAAUCUAAUGGAUGACCUGUACACGUUUACAUUUUGGUUGUGUCAACUUUUAGCGAUACAAUUCUUUAGUGAUGCUGCUGCUUUUUGUUUUCCCGAUUUACUGUUGCACCCUGCGUUUGUUCUUCGCAAUGUCGCACCACAACCGCAACAUCCAAAUCGGCUUUGUGUUAACCUACUAUAAGGAUUGACAUUUUGUGCCAACCUUUCUGCCGGCCUGAGAUGCUGCAUUUUUUCUUGUAUAUAUACGUUACUUUCGACUUUGCAGAAGUGUAAAUGUAUUGUUA